ensembl:snRNA U6 U6 spliceosomal RNA
GUGCUCGCUCUGGCAGCACAUAUACUAAAACUGGAACAACAGAGAGAUAAGCACGGCCCUUGUACAAGGAUAACAUGCAAAUUCGUUAAGCAUUCCGUCUUUUU